GUUAAUUGAUUAUGACGUACUUGUACUGAUUGAGAUUUUAACACGAAGUGAGUGGCGAACGGGUGAGUAACACGUGGGUAACCUGCCCAGAAGUAGGGGAUAACACCUGGAAACAGAUGCUAAUACCGUAUAACAGAGAAAACCGCAUGGUUUUCUUUUAAAAGAUGGCUCUGCUAUCACUUCUGGAUGGACCCGCGGCGUAUUAGCUAGUUGGUGAGGUAAAGGCUCACCAAGGCAGUGAUACGUAGCCGACCUGAGAGGGUAAUCGGCCACAUUGGGACUGAGACACGGCCCAGACUCCUACGGGAGGCAGCAGUAGGGAAUCUUCCACAAUGGACGCAAGUCUGAUGGAGCAACGCCGCGUGAGUGAAGAAGGGUUUCGGCUCGUAAAGCUCUGUUGUUAAAGAAGAACGUGGGUAAGAGUAACUGUUUACCCAGUGACGGUAUUUAACCAGAAAGCCACGGCUAACUACGUGCCAGCAGCCGCGGUAAUACGUAGGUGGCAAGCGUUAUCCGGAUUUAUUGGGCGUAAAGCGAGCGCAGGCGGUCUUUUAAGUCUAAUGUGAAAGCCUUCGGCUCAACCGAAGAAGUGCAUUGGAAACUGGGAGACUUGAGUGCAGAAGAGGACAGUGGAACUCCAUGUGUAGCGGUGAAAUGCGUAGAUAUAUGGAAGAACACCAGUGGCGAAGGCGGCUGUCUGGUCUGCAACUGACGCUGAGGCUCGAAAGCAUGGGUAGCGAACAGGAUUAGAUACCCUGGUAGUCCAUGCCGUAAACGAUGAUUACUAAGUGUUGGAGGGUUUCCGCCCUUCAGUGCUGCAGCUAACGCAUUAAGUAAUCCGCCUGGGGAGUACGACCGCAAGGUUGAAACUCAAAAGAAUUGACGGGGGCCCGCACAAGCGGUGGAGCAUGUGGUUUAAUUCGAAGCUACGCGAAGAAACCUUACCAGGUCUUGACAUCUUCUGACAGUCUAAGAGAUUAGAGGUUCCCUUCGGGGACAGAAUGACAGGUGGUGCAUGGUUGUCGUCAGCUCGUGUCGUGAGAUGUUGGGUUAAGUCCCGCAACGAGCGCAACCCUUAUUACUAGUUGCCAGCAUUAAGUUGGGCACUCUAGUGAGACUGCCGGUGACAAACCGGAGGAAGGUGGGGACGACGUCAAAUCAUCAUGCCCCUUAUGACCUGGGCUACACACGUGCUACAAUGGAUGGUACAACGAGUCGCGAGACCGCGAGGUUAAGCUAAUCUCUUAAAACCAUUCUCAGUUCGGACUGUAGGCUGCAACUCGCCUACACGAAGUCGGAAUCGCUAGUAAUCGCGGAUCAGCAUGCCGCGGUGAAUACGUUCCCGGGCCUUGUACACACCGCCCGUCACACCAUGAGAGUUUGUAACACCCAAAGCCGGUG
rnacentral:rRNA from 1 species